GCGCCAAAUGCUCCAAACACAAGUUAACCACACCACAAUCAAACUAUCUCGAAGCAUUUUACCCCUACUAAAUAAGCCAAAGAACAAAUGAGCAUGAUAAGUAAUUUAGUUAGAAAGCAUUGCAUAAACGCCAAAGCACUGCAAAACCAUCAACCACACUUUCCCUAAUAAGGGACAAAGUACAAAUAAAUAUUGUAAAGAUUCCACACGCCACAACCACCUACACACAUACAGGACUUUGCAAACAACACAUCGAACCAAAUUGGACUUUAUUGGCAACCUAUCAUUAAACAUCAUCCACGAGAAAAUGGAUACCUUCAACGGUACAACCUUGUACAACCUUGUGCCACAAGAACUCAACGGUACAACCUUCAAAUUGUACGCCUUUUUGAUUGUAUAAUCUUCACCAGAUCCAUUUUUUCAAUGUCAUUUAUCCUCCAAAUUUUCCUGCAAAAGAACAUUCCUAAAGCAACUCCUCCUCCCACUGAAACAUGUGCCUCCUCCAACCCCUCUUCCCUCAAGACCAUUAUCCACCACCUCCGCUAGACACAUCUUUAUUGAUAGUAAAGUUGAACAAUCUACAAAAUUUGGUUGACAAAAUUCCCCCACUUAUAUUUUUGAAAGGAAGUAGACUUACUAUCACCCACCACGCGAACAAGGUUAUGAAAACCAAUUCUUGUUCCCACCAUUCGAUUCUCCACAAAUAUGUUGUAUAUCUCUCCACCACAACGAUGAUUUACUACCUCUAAACACACAUUUCUGCCCUCAUCUUGACCAUAUUUAUGCAUUAAAACUUUAUACGACAAGCCACUUUGAUCCACCCUUAAUCUCCACCUCCAUUUUCCUAACAAAGCAAUAUUAAACGCUCACAAAUUAUGCACACCCAAGCCACCCCAAUCAAGGCACACAACAUCCUAUUUAACCGAAUUAGGUGUGUAACCUUACAAUCAUUACAUAAUCCAAUCGAGGCACCACAAAAUACACCUCCCUAAACCAAAGUAGUCAUCAAAGCAUUAAAACCCUCAGUGACUAAUACAAAUAGAAAAGGUGACAGUGGGUCCCCUUGUCUUAACCCCGAAGCAAAUUCCUCAAUUGGAUUUCCACUAACCAAAAUUGAUGAU
rnacentral:lncRNA from 1 species